rnacentral:tRNA from 1 species
GCAGUGGUGGUUCAGCGGUAGAAUUCCUGCCUUCCAUGCGGGAGAUCCAUGUUCGACUCCUGGUCAAUGUG